rnacentral:rRNA from 1 species
CCCUUAGAUGUUCUGGGCCGCACGCGUGCUACACUGACCGGCGCAACAAGUUUCUUUCCUUGGCUCGAUAGGCCUGGGUAAUCUUUGAACGCCGGUCGUGAUGGGGAUAGAUCCUUGCAAUUUUUGAUCUUCAACGAGGAAUUCCUAGUAAACGCAAGUCAUCAGCUUGCAUUGAUUACGUCCCUGCCCUUUGUACACACCGCCCGUCGCACCUACCGAUUGAAUGGUCCGGUGAAAUCUCGGGACGGCGGCUUGGUCGCUUGCGUCCGACUGCUGAAACUUGAUUAAACCAUAUCAUUUAGAGGAAGGUGAAGUCGUAACA